UACAGAGGUCUCAAGCGUGUUCGGAUUCAUUGGCGUAAAGGGUGCGUAGGCGGCGCGGUAAGUCGGGUGUGAAAUCUCGGAGCUUAACUCCGAAACUGCAUUCGAUACUGCCGUGCUUGAGGACUGGAGAGGAGACUGGAAUUUACGGUGUAGCGGUGAAAUGCGUAGAUAUCGUAAGGAAGACCAGUGGCGAAGGCGGGUCUCUGGACAGUUCCUGACGCUGAGGCACGAAGGUCAGGGGAGCAAACGGG
rnacentral:rRNA from 1 species